AGGAGGGAGGGGCCCAGAAAGUGCAGAAAAUAACCAAGAAAAAGAGACGACAGAUCUCAGGGAAAAAAGUGGACCUAGGAGAGAAGGGAGAGGCCAGGGAAAUGGAGAAACUGUCACUGAAAGAAGAGAGACAGGCCCAGGAAGGAAAGAGACAGGAUCAGAAAAAGGACAAACUGACUCCAAAAGCAGCUGAGGAAAAAACCCAACUAGUCAGAGGAAAAAUGAAACUGGUCUCAAAAGAGAAAAGUAGAGAGAAAAUUGAGAAAGUGUCCCCAAAAGAAGAGAAAUGGGUCAUGGAAAAAGAGAAGAAAAUCAGCAAGGAAAAAAAACAAUGGGCCCACAAAAGAAAAUUAGCCCUACCAGAGGAGAAACAGGCCCAGGAUGAGAGAAUAUGGGGUCAGAAAGAGAGUGAGCGAAGAAAACAAUGGGCCUGGAGAAAAGAGAAACUGUCCCGAGAAGAGAAGAAACAAGCCGAUGAAAUGGAGAAAAAGUCCCAACAAAGACAGGCAAGGGCUUUAGAGAAAACACUGACUCAGGAAGACAGUUUCAUGGGCAAGGAAGAGAAGCAUAUUGCCGAGGAAGAAAGGACAAUAGCCAGGGAAGGAAUUGGUGUAACUAAGAGAAAGAAAAAAGCAACUCAAGAAGAGAAAGAAACUAUUGAAGAAGAGGGGAAACUGGCCUAUGACGUUAGGGCCAAGGAGAUGGGUGUUGCUAAGGAAGAAAAGAAAAGAAUUCAAGAGGAGAGUAUACAGGAAAUGAGGAAACUGGAUAUGGGGGUGGGGAUUAGUUCUGAAGGAAGAGAGACUAGUUCCAGAGAAAAAGAUAUAAGGAAGAAAGAGAGUCACCUGAUGCAGAUCCUGGCUAAAAUAAUUAGAGAAAUGAAUAGAGUGCCAUUGCAAGAAACAGGAAUACCUGAGGAAGAUCAACUGUUUUCUAUGGAAAUGAGUGAAACUGAUGGCCAGAGGUGGGAAUUUUCUAAAGAACCAGAGGAAAUAACCAGAGAAGAGAAGCAGCUGGUUCAGAAAGAGAGAAAACUAGAAGAUGACAGACUAGCUACUGAAGAGAGAAUACUGACCAAUGAAGAGAGCUUGGAGGAAGACCAAAGGUUAUUAGAGAAGGUCCAGGAAAAUAUACUAUUAGAUAAAACCCAGGUAGACAGUAUGUUAAAGGAGGCCCAGCAGCAAAAUCUGUUAGGAAAAAAGCAGCUGAAGAAGCUUCUAAAGAUAAUCAAGGAGAAGAAACCAGAAAAGACCCAGGUAAAGUGGUUAUUAGAGAAUAUUAGAGACAUACUAUUCGAAGGCUUAUCAGAGAGUUUGAUUGAGAAGGAAGUGGAAGCUCCAGCUAAGAAGAGGAUAGAUGAGGAGAGGCUCAUUGAAGGAGAGGAGAAGGAGAAGGAGGAGGAGGAGGAGAUUCUGCCCAAGAAAGAGAAAGGGAAAUACCUGAUAAAGAAGAAGGAAAAGAAAGUAAGCCUGAGUGAAGAGGAAUUGGAGGAGAGCUUGGCUGGGAAGCAUAGGAAAAAGAGUUUAACUCAAAUAAGGAAAAAGGAAAAGAAACUGACUCAGGAGAAAGAGAAGCUGGAUAAGAAGGUAAAAGAGGGCCCACAUGAGGAAGAGAUGGAGCCCUUCAGCAAGGAGGAAGGUGGGGCCCCACACAUGGAGAAGGAGGAGGAGGACUUCAGUGAGGAGGAGGAGAGCCGAAGUGAGGAAGAGAGUCUGAGUGAAGAGGAAGAGAGCCUGAGUGAGGAGGAGAGUCUGAGUGAGGAGGAAGAAAGCCUGAGUGAGGAGGAGAGUCUGAGUGAAGAGGAAGAGAGCCUGCAUGAGGAGGAGAGUCUGAGUGAGAAGGAAAAGGAGGGCCUGAGUGAAGAAGAGGAGAGCCUGAGUGAGGAGGAAGAGGGCCUGAGUGAGAAGGAGAAGAGUCUGAGUGAAAAAGAGAAGCGUCUGAGUAAGAAAGAGAAGGCUCUGCAUGAGAAGGAGAAGAGUCUGAGUGAGAAAGAGGAGGAAGAAGAAAAAAUGGAGAAGACAGAGAAAAAAGAGGAGGAAAAGGAGGCAAGACAGAAGGAUGAGGAGAGUAUGAGUAAAGAGAAGGAACAGCCAAGAAGACUUACAGAGGCAAUGCUCCCAGUAAAGCAGAGAGUAUGGAAAACAGAGCUCCCAAAGGAAGGAGUGAACUUAUUGAAGCCAGCAACAGUAAGUGAGGUUCUUGCUGAGAAAAGGGAAGACACAGCUAAAGAAGAAAUGGCUCCUAAAAAAGACAGAUUGUUUUAUGGACAGGUAAGUCCCAC
ensembl:lncRNA